rnacentral:misc_RNA from 1 species
AUUAGAGGUUCGCUUUAUAAUGAACUACGAACUUCGGACGGGGCGAAGCGCCAACAGCAACGAUAUUGCGGGCCUGUUGUGGCAAUGACAUUCAAUUUCAUGGUUGCUGUUGGAAUUAUAAUGGCAAACAAAUUAGUGAUGGGAAGAGUUGGAUUUAACUUCCCAAUAUUUCUCACAUUAAUCCAUUACACUAUUGCUUGGUUUCUACUAGCAAUUUUCAAG